CAGCACACGCUUGUUUUUAAAUUAUUAUUUCAGUGACCGAUAGGUCGUUAGAGCUUCUUUUUCUGUGAUUGGAAAUAGACAGUGAAUGCAUCUCGUCACGUCUUAACUUCCUGGGGUCCUAAUAGAAAGUGUGUGUGUUGAAAAUAAAGGGACUGAUGGUUUGGGGCGUAGGAAGGAGAAUCAGAUUUAGGCCAAAGCUCCCUGAUUACAGAUGGGCUGCCUGCAGCCCAGAGAGCGGAAGGACCUGGCCCAAGGUCACUUGGAGUCGGAGGCCAGCUGCCCGGAACCCGGGUGGACGGGUUCCCAGGCCAGUGCCCACUCACAGCUGUCUGGCUCAGCGACCCCGCGUAGAGCAAGCGACGUGAGCUGUAGUUCCACUGGCCCUCAGGAAGGAAGUGGCAUAGUGCUCGUUCACCGCGCCGUGGCUGCUGUCGGGCCAGAGGGCCGGGGUCUCUGCCAGCCAGGGACCCUCCCAGCAGCUGACCUGUGUUUCUGUUGCAGAUCCCAUCCCUGCUCCAGGACAAUGAGCUCAUCCGGUCCGCACAGACCGUCACCCCCCAAUUCUCAGGCUGUUGAGAGUUCUCAGAAGAACCACCCACUGGAUACAUUCAAUUCGAAAAAUUUCUUCCAGUGAUGGAGUACUGCUGGAAAGAAGGUCUUAGAUCCAGCUAAACAUGGGAUCCUUUCACCAGAAGAACUGAUCAAGAUAUGACUGAAGAGGGUGAGCCUUUUUCUCUGGAGAAAAUGGAAGAAAUGUUGUCUGCUGCAAUUGAUCUGGAAUCGAAUUCAGUUCAUUUCAAGGAUUAUACAACAAUGAUAGUGAUAGAUGAAAAUUAAACAUUUUAAUGACUUAAUUUCUAAUUGAAAGGAUAAUUUUAAAAAUUGUUCACCGUUGUUAAUUUCACAUUUUAUCUUAUAAUUCCUACAUAUGAUAAUGCCUUGU